rnacentral:rRNA from 1 species
AGCGAACGCUGGCGGCAGGCCUAACACAUGCAAGUCGAGCGCCGUAGCAAUACGGAGCGGCAGACGGGAGAGUAACACGUGGGAACGUGCCCUUUGGUUCGGAAUAACUCAGGGAAACUUGAGCUAAUACCGGAUAAGCCCUUACGGGGAAAGAUUUAUGGCCAUUGGAGCGGCCCGCGUCGGAUUAGCUAGUUGGUGAGGUAAUGGCUCACCAAGGCGACGAUCCGUAGCUGGUCUGAGAGGAUGACCAGCCUCACUGGGACUGAGACACGGCCCAGACUCCGACGGGAGGCAGCAGUUGGGAAUAUUGGACAAUGGGCGCAAGCCUGAUCCAGCCAUGCCGCGUGGAUGAUGAAGGCCCUAGGGUUGUAAAGUCCUUUUAACGGGGAAGAUAAUGACGGUACCCGUAGAAUAAGCCCCGGCUAACGUCGUGCCAGCCGCCGCCGUAAGAC